rnacentral:rRNA from 1 species
UACGGGGGGUGCGAGCGUUGUCCGGAAUCACUGGGCGUAAAGGGCGCGUAGGUGGCCUGGUAAGUCUGUGGUGAAAGCCCGGAGCUCAACUCCGGGUCUGCCGCGGAUACUGCGAGGCUUGAGUGCUGUAGAGGGGGGUAGAAUGCCGGGUGUAGCGGUGGAAUGCGUAGAGAUGUGGAGGAAUACCGAUGGCGAAGGCAGCCCCCUGGGCCAAUACUGACGCUCAUGCACGAAAGCGUGGGGAGCAAACGGG